rnacentral:rRNA from 1 species
UACGAAGGGGGCUAGCGUUGCUCGGAAUUACUGGGCGUAAAGGGCGCGUAGGCGGCACUGUUAGUCAGGGCGUGAAAGUCCUGGGCUCAACCUCGGGAACUGCGCUUGAUACGGCAGAGCUAGAGGAUGGAAGAGGGUCGCGGAAUUCCCAGUGUAGAGGUGAAAUUCGUUAGAUAUUGGGAAGAACACCGGUGGCGAAGGCGGCGACCUGGUCCAUUACUGACG